AACGAACGCUGGCGGCAUGCCUAACACAUGCAAGUCGAACGAGACCUUCGGGUCUAGUGGCGCACGGGUGCGUAACGCGUGGGAAUCUGCCCUUGGGUUCGGAAUAACAGUUGGAAACGACUGCUAAUACCUGAUGAUGACGUAAGUCCAAAGAUUUAUCGCCCAGGGAUGAGCCCGCGUAGGAUUAGCUAGUUGGUGGGGUAAAGGCCUACCAAGGCGACGAUCCUUAGCUGGUCUGAGAGGAUGAUCAGCCACACUGGGACUGAGACACGGCCCAGACUCCUACGGGAGGCAGCAGUGGGGAAUAUUGGACAAUGGGCGAAAGCCUGAUCCAGCAAUGCCGCGUGAGUGAUGAAGGCCUUAGGGUUGUAAAGCUCUUUUACCCGGGAUGAUAAUGACAGUACCGGGAGAAUAAGCCCCGGCUAACUCCGUG
rnacentral:rRNA from 1 species